AGCUCCAGAAGCGUAUAUUAGUGUUGUUGCAGUUAAAAAGCUCGUAGUUGGAUUUCUGGGAAUUGGCGUGUGGGUCCCGGCGCUCAGCGUCGGAGAGCUCGCACUCCUUCUCAUCCGUGGUCGGUGGGUGUGUGUUCUUUACUGAAUGCGCAUUCCGCCUACCACCCUUUACCUUGAAGAAAUAAGAGUGUUUAAAGCAGGCAACCGCUUUGAAUGAUCGAGCAUGGAAUAAUGACAUAGGGCUAUCUCUCUAUAUUAUUGGUCCUGGAAAGGUGGCAAUGAUUGAUAAGAACGGUUGGGGGUGCUCGUAUUCCGUGUCUAGAGGUGAAAUUCUUGGAUCCACGGACUUCGAACGACUGCGAAGGCAUUCACCAAGGACGUCUCUUUUA
rnacentral:rRNA from 1 species